UACGUAGGGGGCCAGCGUUGUCCGAAGUUACUGGGCGUAAAGAGCGCGUAGGCGGAUCUUUAAGUGAGAGGUGAAAUUCUGAGGCUCAACCUCGGAACUGCCUUUCAUACUGGGGACCUUGAGUGCGGGAGAGGCGAGUGGAAUGGUCGGUGUAGCGGUGAAAUGCGUAGAUAUCGAUCGGAACACCCAUGGCGAAGGCAGCUCGCUGGCCUGCAACUGACGCUGAGGCGCGAAAGCCGGGGGAGCAAACAGG
rnacentral:rRNA from 1 species